AUUGAACGCUGGCGGCAUGCCUUACACAUGCAAGUCGAACGGCAGCACGGGUGCUUGCACCUGGUGGCGAGUGGCGAACGGGUGAGUAAUACAUCGGAACAUGUCCUGUAGUGGGGGAUAGCCCGGCGAAAGCCGGAUUAAUACCGCAUACGAUCUACGGAUGAAAGCGGGGGACCUUCGGGCCUCGCGCUAUAGGGUUGGCCGAUGGCUGAUUAGCUAGUUGGUGGGGUAAAGGCCUACCAAGGCGACGAUCAGUAGCUGGUCUGAGAGGACGACCAGCCACACUGGGACUGAGACACGGCCCAGACUCCUACGGGAGGCAGCAGUGGGGAAUUUUGGACAAUGGGCGAAAGCCUGAUCCAGCAAUGCCGCGUGUGUGAAGAAAGCCUUCGGGUUGUAAAGCACUUUUGUCCGGAAAGAAAUCCUUGGCCCUAAUACGGUCGGGGGAUGACGGUACCGGAAGAAUAAGCACCGGCUAACUACGUG
rnacentral:rRNA from 1 species